UACGUAGGGUCCGAGCGUUGUUCGGAAUUACUGGGCGUAAAGGGCUCGUAGGCGGCCAACUAAGUCGGACGUGAAAUCCCCAGGCUCAACCUGGGAACUGCGUCCGAUACUGGAUGGCUUGAAUCCGGGAGAGGGAUGCAGAAUUCCAGGUGUAGCGGUGAAAUGCGUAGAUAUCUGGAGGAAUACCGGUGGCGAAGGCGGCAUCCUGGACCGAGAUGACACUGAUGAGCGAAAGCUAGGGAGCAAACGGG
rnacentral:rRNA from 1 species